AAGACUAUACUUUCAGCGAUCAUUUCUAUAGUUCGUUACUUGAGAAAUGUGUGUUUAAAGUGGUAGGUCUUGCUAUCCAUGAU
rnacentral:snoRNA from 8 species